AGACAAGGGCGUACGGUGGAUGCCUUGGCUUGAAAGAGCGAUGAAGGACGCUGCGUAGCGGCGAUACGCUUCGGGGAGGUGCCGAGCAACCUUUGAUCCGAAGAUGUCCGAAUGGGGAAACCCGUCUCGAUGAAUGAUCGAGACACUCCGACGCAAGUCGGAGAGCGCACCCGGGGAAGUAAAACAUUUCAGUACCCGGAGGAAAAGAAACCAAUUGGUAUUUCCUUAGUAGCGGCGAGCGAAAAGGAAUCAGCCUAGAUUGAACGGUUCGCAAGAACUGUUUGAAGUUGUAAGGCAAGAAUUUCGUAUUUAUACGAGGAAAGUUAUUAAAUUGUUCGUUAGUGGAAGCUUCUGGAAAGAAGCGCCCCAGAGGGUGAUAGUCCCGUACACGAAAACGAACGAUCUUUCUUGUUUUUGUCCUUAAGUACCUCAAGACACGAAUACCUUGGGGGAA
rnacentral:rRNA from 1 species